UAUUUUUAAAGCAAAAUAAUCUUAUCCAGGGAAGGUUUCUGGCUGAAGUAACAAAGCAAGUUUUGUUAGAUCUUGAAGCAAGUAAAUAUCAGAUGGCCGAGUACAGGAUCUCUGUUUAUGGAAGAAAACAGAGCGAAUGGGAUCAGCUUGCAAGUUGGUUUGUGAACAAUGCUCUUUAUAGUAAGAACGCCGU